GACACUCAAAAAUAAGAAAAGUGUCUAUCAAGGGCUUACUAUGUGCUAUGCAAAGCUAUAAGAGCUUUACACAUAUUAACACAUUUGAUUCUCACUACAUUUCUAGGAGGUAAAGACUAUCAUUAUCCUGUUUACAGAUGGGAAAACUGACACAGAGGUUAAGUAGCUUGCUCACUCUUCAAAGGAAUUCUUCCCCUCCUGAGCCAGGCUCCUUCACUGGGGGGGGUGUGUGUGUGUGUUCCCUGUGUCACAUUCAGAGCACCGGACUGGGAGUUCAUGAACCUGUCACUCCCUGGCUAUGGGUCCCUGAGCCACCUCCUUCCUGCAUGGUGACUGUAUUCGGCUGCUGCCCUCACAAUAGCCCCAGGAAUUGAGCUACAAAUGAGCUGUGUCAUGAUUGUCUCACUUUGUCCACUUUAUGAGGUCAGAGUUGCCUUUCCCAUUUGAUGGGCAGAAAAACUGAGACCUACGGUCACAGAGCUGGCAAGUGGUGGGGGUGGGCCUGGAAUCCAGCCUGGGAGUCUGAACCCAGCCCUGAAUUCCUGCCCUUACCUGGGCUGGUCCUCCUGAGCCUGUCUAGUGCGCUCCAGCUCCCGGCUCUGGGAGGCGUGUCCUGACUGCCUGCUCCUGGCUGCACUGCACUGCGUGUCAGGAGGCCCUUCUCUGAGUCUGCCUGUGGGGUGUGCUGCUUCCCAUCUGUCUGGGCUCGCUGAGCCUGGACAGCACCUUGCCCCUUGGAUAGGAGCCCCAGGGUGGGGCUGUGUCAACCUCUUCAGUCUAGUCUAGGCCUUCUGCUUUUGUCACUAGGAGCUCAGGGUGUGGAGGGGGCAGAAUGACACCAGAGACUGAGCAAAUCACUUCCUGGCUCUGUGCGUCAGUUUCUGACUCUAAGAAAUGGAUUUAACAACAGCCCACUGGCCCUGGGGCCAGGGAAGAUAAAGAAGAUACAGUAGGCCUGGGCCUGCCAGGCCUCCCUCCUGUUUUCAUGACACCGCCUCCCCAUUACCACCCUAGAGGCCUCUUUGGCUGCUGCCACAAUGAGGGGCCCCCUUCUGGGUCCUUGGGGCCCCCGGGGUCAUCUCAUUUGUCUCUCUGCCGAGCACAGUACCUGGAACAUGGCCGCCAGGGAGACCAGUGCCGCCCACCAUGCGAUUUCGACGCCUGACCCCUGGUUACUUCCGGGUGCUACAGAUGCAGGUAGCUGGUGAGCUGAAGGCAGAGCCCCGCAGUCUGCUGGUGGGAGUUGUGGCUACAGUGCUAGCUGUCCUCGGGCUGGGUGGCUCCUGCUAUGCCGUCUGGAAGAUGGUGGGGCAGCGGCGGGUGCCACGGGCCCCAUAAUGAAGAAGAGAGACUCUCACCUGGACGCUGGGGGUAGGUGACUCGGGAGGGGGCUGCAAUCUCAGAAGCCUUCUUUUCUGGGGAUCAGUCUCUGUCGGAAGCAGGACAGAGUAAUCUGAUCCCACUCCCGCCACCCCACACUGCAUCAGGCCUCCAUCUGGGUGCUCCAGUUCAGAUGCUAGGACCUCAGAGGGAAGGCAGGGAUGUGGGCUCC